rnacentral:rRNA from 1 species
UACGUAGGGCGCAAGCGUUGUCCGGAAUUAUUGGGCGUAAAGAGCUCGUAGGCGGUUUGUCGCGUCUGCUGUGAAAACCUAAGGCUCAACCUUGGGCUUGCAGUGGGUACGGGCAGACUAGAGUGCGGUAGGGGGUGACUGGAAUUCCUGGUGUAGCGGUGGAAUGCGCAGAUAUCAGGAGGAACACCAAUAGCGAAGGCAGCUCGCUGGGACGUUUACUGACACUGAGGCGCGAAAAGCCGUGGGGGAGCGAACAGG